rnacentral:rRNA from 1 species
UACGAAGGGGGCUAGCGUUGUUCGGAAUUACUGGGCGUAAAGCGCGCGCAGGCGGCUAUCCAAGUCAGUGGUGAAAGCCCGGAGCUCAACUCCGGAACUGCCAUUGAAACUGUUUAGCUUGAGGACGAGAGAGGUGAGUGGAAUUCCCAGUGUAGAGGUGAAAUUCGUAGAUAUUGGGAAGAACACCGGUGGCGAAGGCGGCGACCUGGUCCUUGACUGACGCUGAGGCGCGAAAGCGUGGGGAGCGAACAGG